rnacentral:lncRNA from 1 species
GCCGCUGUGGUAGAGAAAACAGUGACGGCUGCGGCGGCGGUGGCGCUGCGAGUCCCCGCUUAGAGCCGGGACAGUGGGGGGGAAUCAUUUUAUACUCCAGAAUUAGGACAAGUAUGUGAGAAUUCCCAUCGGCCAGUGUGGAUUUCUUUCUUCAAGCUCUCUUCCAAUACAACCAGCUAUAUAAGUUUCUCAAAUAACCCUUCUUUGUGCCAUGUUCUGUGGCUUGCAUCAAAAGAGGAAUUUGUCUUCAUGAAGAUUCCUAACAUUGGUAAUGUGAUGAAUAAAUUUGAGAUCCUUGGGGUUGUAGGUGAAGGUGCCUAUGGGGUUGUACUAAAAUGCAGGCACAAGGCA